rnacentral:rRNA from 1 species
CACGAAGUUAGCCGGUCCUUUCUGAUAUGGUACCGUCAUUAUCUUCCCAUAUCACAGAGCUUUACAACCCGAAGGCCUUCAUCGCUCACGCGGCGUCGCUGCAUCAGAGUUUCCUCCAUUGUGCAAUAUUCCC